rnacentral:lncRNA from 1 species
GGGCUGCGCGUGGACCCUGGAGGGAGAGGAUGAUGAAGACGACGAGGAAGAAGAAGAUGAGGAGGAGGAAGAAGAGGAGGCUGCAGCUGGCGCAACUGGGGGUCCCGACUCUGCCGAGAAGUGAGCACAGCAGCUGACAGGUGACAAAUCCCCUGCCCCUUUUAUUUCCGAUGUCGGGAGACUUUAAAAGGCUCAGAAUUUGCCCAAAAUACAAUGUGAAUCUAUUCUAACAUUCCAAAAAUUAAAUUGAAUCAAGUAGAUUCUGGCUAGCCCGUUUCUAAUCUAACUUUGAUUUGUGUAAAACAGAUGCAAAAGACGUUUUUUGUUUUGUUUUGUUUUUUUUUAAACGGCCUAAUUAAACUUAUUUUUUUUCUCUCCCUGCUCUUCUGUGAGAACCAGACUUGAGACUGAUGAAAGGUUGUCAGUUAGAUGGGAAUUAAAGUGCGUCACACGUUGAAAUCCAUUCAUCACACUACACCUUAACACCCAAGCUAAGACAGAACUCUUCUCAAUGCUUAAUUCUUCAGUUUCUUUACAUUUCCCAGCGCAGAGGAAGAGGAACCCAAGAACGACGUCAUCUUUAAGACUUUUGCUUUUGCAAACCCAGACAUCAGCUUUACACUCCAGAGGAGACAAGGCAUGGAGGAAGGCUGGACUGACAGCAUUUACUGUUUAUGUGGCUAGAAAAACUGCCAUUUCAAGUUGUGAAAAAUGUUUUGAAUAUUUGAAUUUACAGAAAGAACACGGUUCCAAAAAUAAGGGUGUAUUCCAUGUAUAAUAUUGUCAACACGUGUUCAUCUGUAAUGGUCUCAUGUUAUCUGUUUUCUUGGUAGUGUUUGUUUACAAAAUCGUAAAAAUUACCCCAAAUGUUUUAAGUAUUAAAUUCCCUUAUAGCAUUUUAGAAAUAUAAUUUACUUGAAGAGAUGUAGAAUGUAGCAAUUCUGUAAAGCAUGUGUAUCCAGUGUUGCCUAGUUUGACUUUGUGAAGUCUUUUUGUCUUGUAGCUUUUAGCAAGUAGCUGUGAAAACCAUCAGAACUCCUCAAUGAAGCUAAUGUUUGGAAAAAAGUAUAUACUUGAAGAACCAACCCAAGUGUGUAUCCCCAACCCCAGCUCAGAAAUAGGAAGGAUUUAAGUUUGCUUGUAUUAGCUGUGCCUUCAUUAUUUUGCUAUGUAAAUGUGACUUAUUAAAUGGUGCAUAAUCAAAUUUUAUUGCUUGAGGACAAAAAUGGCAUAAAG